rnacentral:rRNA from 1 species
UAGGGAAUCUUCGGCAAUGGACGAAAGUCUGACCGAGCAACGCCGCGUGAGUGAAGAAGGUUUUCGGAUCGUAAAACUCUGUUGUUAGAGAAGAACAAGGACGUUAGUAACUGAACGUCCCCUGACGGUAUCUAACCAGAAAGCCACGGCUAACUACGUGCCAGCAGCCGCGGUAAUACGUAGGUGGCAAGCGUUGUCCAGAUUUAUUGGGCGUAAAGCGAGCGCAGGCGGUUUCUUAAGUCUGAUGUGAAAGCCCCCGGCUCAACCGGGGAGGGUCGUUGGAAACUGGGAGACUUGAGUGCAGAAGAGGAGAGUGGAAUUCCAUGUGUAGCGGUGAAAUGCGUAGAUAUAUGGAGGAACACCAGUGGCGAAGGCGGCUCUCUGGUCUGUAACUGACGCUGAGGCUCGAAAGCGUGGGGAGCAAACAGG